CAGAAGCUGAGAGGAGAAAGGGGCUACAGGAAAGUAGGUUGCAGUCACUCUCUGGGAGGAGGGAGUUGGGAUGGUGGUGAACCCAGAGAAGUGGGGGAAGCCAGGAAGUGCCUUCCUACACAGUCAGUACCUCUGACACAGAACACUUAGGAAAAAUGGAAACUCUUCUUUGUACACCAGCUCAGUGGAUGUUGCUGGAUGUUGCACAGCAUCGGAGAUGAGGAAGACAGAAGAUGCACUAUCAAGGAGAGAUUGGCUGGAUGUCAAAAGUGAGGCAAUUAGCUUAUCAGUAACAAUGAUGUAAAUACACUGACAGUUAUAGUUGUCAAAACUGAGGAUAGUUAAUGUUUGACAAGCUAGCUAACAGUCAGUCAAAGUCAAGAGCUGCUUGCAAUAUCACUGAGGGUUUAUAAACUUCACCCCUCCACCCCCAAAAAAACCGUAAUAAUUUCCAUUCCUCAAUGAGGAUUACCUUUAUGCCAAUUUUAAAUUAGAUUCCUUGAGCCAUUUUUGAGUCAUACUAGUGUAAUACACUGGCUUAGUGCAUGUGAUUGUGUCUCCCUCUAGUGGUUGGUCCCAGUAGCUAUAACAGUUUGCUGUUUACUUCCAGCUAAUUGUGUUAACACUUUCACUCAAAUGCUAGGAGCUUGUGCUUUUUUUAAUACUAUUCCGGAUUCAACCUCUGCUGAUUAGCCAUGGUAUCCAUA